CUACGGACUUGAUUGUAUUGAGCCUUGGUAUGGAAACCUGCUAAGUGGUAACUUCCAAAUUCAGAGAAACCCUGGAAUUAAAAAAGGGCAAUCCUGAGCCAAAUCCGUGUUUUGAGAAAACAAGGGGUUCUCGAACUAGAAUACAAAGGAAAAGGAUAGGUGCAGAGACUCAAUGGAAGCUGUUCUAAUAAAUCGAUUUAAUUACGUUGUGUUGUUAGUGGAAUUCCUUCUAAUUCUAAAUUAGAGAAAGAGGGG
rnacentral:ncRNA from 1 species